GACAGAGGUCCCGAGCGUUAGGCGGAAUCACUGGGCUUAAAGCGUGUGUAGGCGGAUCGUUAAGUGCCUUGUGAAAUCCCAUGGCUUAACCAUGGAACUGCUCGGCAUACUGGCGAUCUUGAGCCACGUUAGGGCAACCGGAACAAAUGGUGGAGCGGUGAAAUGCGUAGAUAUCAUUUGGAACGCCAAUGGUGAAAACAGGUUGCUGGGAGUGUGCUGACGCUGAGACACGAAAGCCAGGGGAGCGAACGGG
rnacentral:rRNA from 1 species